rfam:Taphrina deformans PYCC 5710 genomic scaffold, scaffold00156
AGGAAAUUAGCUCAGUUGGUAGAGCGAUCGCCUUACAAGCGAUUUGUCAAGGGUUCGAAUCCUUUAUUUCCUA